GAAACGGUAGCUCAACGGCAGAGCGCAGUUCCGUGCGCUGGAUCCCGGUUCGACUCCGGGCCGUUUCU
rnacentral:tRNA from 1 species